AAAGCUGUGCUAAUACCGCAUACGAUCUCUGGAUGAAAGCGGGGGACUCGCAAGGGCCUCGCGCGAUUGGAGCGGCCGAUAUCAGAUUAGCUAGUUGGUGGGGUAAAAGCCCACCAAGGCGACGAUCUGUAGCUGGUCUGAGAGGACGACCAGCCACACUGGAAGUGAGACACGGUCCAGACUCCUACGGGAGGCAGCAGUUUUUUUUUUUUUUUUUGGGCGCAAGCCUGAUCCAGCAAUGCCGCGUGCAGGAUGAAGGCCUUCGGGUUGU
rnacentral:rRNA from 1 species